GUGCUAGCUGAAGCUCUAAAGAUGAUGCUGUGCAAUGAUAGGCAACAUGGCAUGCGAAAGGCUGCAGCAUUCAUAAAGCGUUUAGCCACAUUCUCGUUAUGCUUUGAGUCUGCAGAGUCCAUGGCUGCCUUGGUCACUUUAAAGCAUCUCCUCCAAAAGAAUAUUAAAUAUCGGGUUUUGUUGGAAAAUGAUCCUGGAGGUGGCUCAGUAUCAGGUUCUGUUGCGAGUAAAUUUAAAUUUCCCCAUUUAGCUCCAAGCAGGGCCUUGGAGAAAGUUGUACCUUGUUUUGGAUAAUCGAUGAGGGCUGAAUCGAAGCGCUUGUACGUUUGGCAUGGAAGUAUUCGAUCGGCGUCGGGUGCGGGUGGACUACAGAGGAUGUCGACUCUAAAGUGAAGGUGGGUGAAAGGAUUG